rnacentral:rRNA from 1 species
GGGCCCGCACAAGCGGCGGAGCAUGCGGAUUAAUUCGAUGCAACGCGAAGAACCUUACCAAGGCUUGACAUAUAGAGGAAAAGUGCAGAAAUGCACUCCCCGCAAGGUCUCUAUACAGGUGGUGCAUGGUUGUCGUCAGCUCGUGUCGUGAGAUGUUGGGUUAAGUCCCGCAACGAGCGCAACCCUCGUCCUAUGUUGCCAGCACGUAAUGGUGGGAACUCAUGGGAUACUGCCGGGGUCAACUCGGAGGAAGGUGGGGAUGACGUCAAAUCAUCAUGCCCCUUAUGUCUUGGCUUCACGCAUGCUACAAUGGCCGGUACAGAGGCUGCCAAUACCGUAAGGUGGAGCGAA